rnacentral:rRNA from 1 species
GUCUAUGGCCACACCACCCUGAACGCUCUCUCGUCUGAUCUCAGAAGCUAAGCAAGGGACUGGCUGGGUUAGCACUUGCACGGGAGAACGAAAGAGAAAGCAGAGGGUGGGAGGGA